CCUACGGGGUGCUGCAGUCGAGAAUCAUUCACAAUGGGGGAAACCCUGAUGGUGCGACGCUGCGUGGGGGAAUGAAGGUCUUCGGAUUGUAAACCCCUGUCAUGUGGGAGCAAAUUAAAAAGAUAGUACCACAAGAGGAAGCGACGGCUAACUCUGUGCCAGCAGCCGCGGUAAUACAGAGGUCUCAAGCGUUGUUCGGAAUCACUGGGCGUAAAGCGUGCGUAGGCUGUUUCGUAAGUCGUGUGUGAAAGGCGCGGGCUCAACCCGCGGACGGCACAUGAUACUGCGAGACUAGAGUAAGGGAGGGGGAACCGGAAUUCUCGGUGUAGCAGUGAAAUGCGUAGAUAUCGAGAGGAACACUCGUGGCGAAGGCGGGUUCCUGGACAUUAACUGACGCUGAGGCACGAAGGCCAGGGGAGCGAAAGGGAUUAGAUACCCUUGUAGUC
rnacentral:rRNA from 1 species